rnacentral:lncRNA from 1 species
UCUUACUUAAUUCUGCUGUGCAAGAGAACAAGCAGCUGCUUAAUGGCUGUGCGGUGAAACCCGACAUCUCCCAUGGGUGGAAAAGCCGUGUUCCAUUACAGCUCUGUUUUGGGCAUUGCUGAGGGAGCCCAGAAGGCACGUUAGAUGAAGAUGGGAAGUGAAGACGUGGACUAUUGCCCAGUUCAGUUGUGAUUACGAAGUUACAGUUAGGAAAACCCUACGACUGCCAGUACUGAUACACCUGGCUUAUGGAGUAGGGGCUCCAGAGGACUACAGAGCUAAGUUUUGCUCUGUAUCAUCAGAUCUUCUUUUCAAAAGGCAAACGUGAUGAGAACAUAAUUGAAAAACAAUAAGCAAAAUGAAAUAUUGUGAAUGAUUUCAAGGACAGAAAUAGCACACCAAGAAACUCCAGCUGACACUGGAGAUCUCACUGCAGAGUGAAAGAGUAAUACAGCAUCACAAAUGGGAAUUGCUGAAUUCUUGUGUGCAAAAAAGCUGAGGACUGUGAGGAAUCUCCUUGGCAGGCACUGCUCUUGCCCUGCUUUUGUGCGAGAGCCACCACAACGGGGCCACGAGGGAGGCAGCGCUGAGAGCUCGCUAUGACAAGUGGCUCCCGGAUCCCCGAGGGGAGCGGGGCGAUAAGCCUCAUCAGGCUCGGUGCCUCGCACAGCUUCUCCUCCAGUUAGCGCCCUCUCGGUACGAUUUCUGAGCAUUAACUGCCAGAAAAAUGCUUCUCAGACACCUGCCAAGUUCCCUCCUAACGUCGGCCUGCCCCGGGACGGCCGGGGGCUGAGGCAGAGGCCGCGCUGCCUCUCACCAGCCCCCGG